CGGCCAAUAAUAGCGUUGCAAUAAUGUUAUCCUAUCAUUGGACGCAGGCUAUAAUUGGACGCUGACCAGCGUCGAUUAUUUUUAUUUGGUCUGUCUUCAUGCAGCUCCGAGCGUCGAGACAUGUGGCGUCGCCCUUGCGCGUUCUUCACCGCGACGCUGUUCUGGGACGCCCUUUGUGGAACGUUAUCCAUGGCUUUCAAUGCUUCGCCUACGAGCAACAUUGACCUUCUCUGCUGCACUCCCUGCCUCGCGCAGCAAGCCCAGAAGGAAGAGGAAGAAGUGAGAUCGAAGGCAGGGCGCUGACGGGGUGGGCUAGGGAACAGCACGGUGAGCAGUUCGAACAGGGCUUGCUACGCAGUCGGGCCGUCUAAGAUAAUGAGCAACAAAAAGGAGAGCGCGCACGAGAACUCCACGGAUGAAGAAAGAAAAAAGGUCCCGAAGACGCGAUUCUCCAAAAGAAAUGACAAGAAGAAGACAGCCCCUCUGGGUCUACCACCACCACUUCCAGAGUUUAUGAGAGACAAUGCUGCGGCGUGUGCUGUUCCUGGUACAUCAAAUACUGGCGGGCAGAGCAGUUCAUCAGCCAGAUCUGGUGCCCCAAAACCCAACCGCGACGACUGCAACAACAGCCAGAUAGACGACCCCACGAGAAGAAAAAGACCAAGCGGGCAGGCCCGUUCAUCAGGCAGAUGUGGUGCCCCAAACCCGGACCUCGAUGACUGCAACAAAAGCCAGAUAAGCGACCUCACGAGAAGAAAAAGACCAAGGCAUGGUGGCUGUUCAUUGCCAGAGUGGUCUAACUGCCCUGCCCAUGGAUUGUCUUUUGUUCCCGACGUGGUGCCCCAGCGCCACUUUGAGCACGCAGUCCGGAUGCUCCCAGCAGGACUCGCAGUGUUGCGCUCCAAGACAUGGGCUGCGCGAGUUGGCAUUUUCAUGGUGGUGCCCUUUGCUAGAGGUCAUCGCUUCGGUCCUUACACCAUGUCCACGGCGAACCACAAUGGCAUCCGCGAAGCCUCUCAGCAAGAAAUGAUGGCUGUUCAUUGCCAAAGUCGUCUAAUUGCCCGGCCCAUGAAUUUUCUUUUCUUCCCGAGGGGGUGCCCCAGCGCGACUUUGAGCGCGCAGUCAAGAUGCUGCCACCAGGACUCGCUGUGUUGCGCCCCAGGACUUGGGCUGCGCGAGUUGGCUUUUCAUGGUGGUGCCCUUUGCUAGAGGUCAUCGCUUCGGUCCUUACACCAUGUCCACGGCGAACCACAAUGGCAUCCGCGAAGCCUCUCAGCAACCAGUACCCGCGGAGACACUACCUUAAGGCCAUGUAAGCGCCAUUGAAGUGGCACUGUGGAUGCGCUACGUGAAUUGCGCCCCAAAUGAGCGCAAGUGUAACUUGAUAGCGGUGGAAGAGGCCGGAUCAGUUUACUACCAGAUCUGCGCGCCUGUAGAACGCUCCACGGAGCUGCUGGUGUGCUGCAAGAAGGCACCACCUUUCCGCUGCCUUCAACUGGAAGAUGACAAUGAAGGUGUUACAGAUGAAGAGGCCGAUGAGGAAGCACAGGCAUGGUGGCUGUUCAUUGCCAGCGUGGUCUAACUGCCCUGCCCAUGGACUGUCUUUUCUUCCCGACGUGGUGCCCCAGCGCCACUUUGAGCGCGCAGUCCGGAUGCUCCCAGCAGGACUCGCAGUGUUGCGCUCCAAGGCAUGGGCUGCGCGAGUUGGC